AUGGACGGAAGUCUGGCCGAGCAACGCCGCGUGAGUGAAGAAGGUUUUCGGAUCGUAAAGCUCUGUUGUAAGAGAAGAACGAGUGUGAGAGUGGAAAGUUCACACUGUGACGGUAUCUUACCAGAAAGGGACGGCUAACUACGUGCCAGCAGCCGCGGUAAUACGUAGGUCCCGAGCGUUGUCCGGAUUUAUUGGGCGUAAAGCGAGCGCAGGCGGUUAGAUAAGUCUGAAGUUAAAGCCUGUGGCUUAACCAUAGUACGCUUUGGAAACUGUUUAACUUGAGUGCAAGAGGGGAGAGUGGAAUUCCAUGUGUAGCGGUGAAAUGCGUAGAUAUAUGGAGGAACACCGGUGGCGAAAGCGGCUCUCUGGCUUGUAACUGACGCUGAGGCUCGAAAGCGUGGGGAGCAAACAGGAUUAGAUACCCUGGUAGUCCACGCCGUAAACGAUGAA
rnacentral:rRNA from 1 species